AUCGAACGCUGGCGGCAGGCCUAACACAUGCAAGUCGAGCGAGCGGCGGACGGGUGAGUAAUGUAUGGGGAACUGCCCGAUAGAGGGGGAUCACUACUGGAAACGGUGGCUAAUACCGCAUACUAUCGGAGGAACCCAUAUGGGAUUAGCUAGUAGGGGGGGUAAAGGCUCACCUAGGCGACGAUCUCUAGCUGGGCUGAGAGGAUGAUCCGCCCCACUGGGGCUGAGACACGGCCCAGACUCCUACGGGAGUCAGCAGUGGGGAAUAUUGCACAAUGGGCGCAAUCCUGAGGCAGCCAUGCCGGGGGUAUGAAAAAGGCCUUGGGGUUGUAAGGUACUUUCAGCGGGAGGACGUUACCCGCAGAAGAAGCACCGGCUAACUCCGUGCCAGCAGCCGCGGUAAUUC
rnacentral:rRNA from 1 species